CCUACGGGUGGCAGCAGUGGGGAAUAUUGGGCAAUGGAGGCAACUCUGACCCAGCAACGCCGCGUGAAUGAUGAAGGUCUUCGGAUUGUAAAGUUCUUUUCUGAGGGACGAAGAAAGUGACGGUACCUUAGGAAUAAGCCUCGGCUAACUACGUGCCAGCAGCCGCGGUAAUACGUAGGUGGCGAGCGUUAUCCGGAAUGACUGGGCGUAAAGGGUGCGUAGGUGGGUUGGCAAGUGAGAAGUGAAAAUGCAGGGCUCAACCCUGGGACUGCUACUGAAACUGUUGGACUUGAGUGCAGGAGGGGCAAUCGGAAUUCCGGGUGUAGCGGUGGAAUGCGUAGAUAUAAGGAGGAACACCAGUGGCGAAGGCGGGUUGCUAGACAGUAACUGACACUGAGGCACGAAAGCGUGGGGAGCAAACAGGAUUAGAUACCCCUGUAGUC
rnacentral:rRNA from 1 species